UGAGCUGUGAGCAACCCGCCCACAGA
rnacentral:misc_RNA from 1 species